CAAGGUUACAAGGCACAGUUUCUAGAACAUAUUCCUGGCCCUGGCAUUCCAUGGUUGAUUCUUUAUAGACGGUGUAUUUUCUUUGUCCUGGGAAUAUUUAGGGUUUUGUUUGUACAGUGACUUACCUCAGAAAAUGAAUUUGAACCCAUGAUACUGGAUACAACUGGGAAAGUUGUGAACUUGAAACUGGGAAGGUUCCCAGAGUACUGCUUCGGGACCCUGCCUUUUAUUGUCUGCAGACCUUCCAAAUCCAUUGUGGUGUGGCAUGAGACCCUCCAAAUCCAGAUGUUAGACAUGGUGGUGUGGUGCGGCCCUGCUACGUCAUGAGUUCACUCUUUUCUCUCAAGUGUUUUCCUCCACAGUCUGAACAUUUAACCUGAUGUUUUUAUUUCUCUUGUUUUGAGGGACUUUUGCUUAUUCUCUAAAUUGAAUGAUUAUUUAUUUUGAGACAGGUCCUCCUGGCUUGGAACUCAUUCUGUAGACCAGGCUGACCUUGCCCCACAGAGAGUCCUCUGCCUCUGCCACCAACGUACUGGAGUUAAAAGUGCACCACCAUGACUGGCAGCCCCUUUGAACUUUGUUCUUUCAGAUUUACCUCAUCUAAUCCACGAAAGCCAAAGUAAACAAUGGGUUUACAUAAAAUAAACAAACAAACAAAACAACAGCAAAAGAAACUCCAAAGCUAAAACUCAGCCCAUGGACUUGGAAGAAUAUGUUUGCAAAUCCUAAGAAUAAUUGCCAAAAUAUAAGAAGAAUGCAAACUAGAGCUGGCUGUAUGGGUUAGUGGGUAAAGGUAUUUGCCACUGACCUAACAGCCCAAGUUUCCAACACCUAAGACCCAGAUGGUAGAAGGGACAACACACACACACACCAC
rnacentral:lncRNA from 1 species